AAAUUGAAGAGUUUGAUCAUGGCUCAGAUUGAACGCUGGCGGCAGGCCUAACACAUGCAAGUCGAACGGUAACAGGAAGCAGCUUGCUGCUUCGCUGACGAGUGGCGGACGGGUGAGUAAUGUCUGGGAAACUGCCUGAUGGAGGGGGAUAACUACUGGAAACGGUGGCUAAUACCGCAUAACGUCGCAAGACCAAAGAGGGGGACCUUCGGGCCUCUUGCCAUCAGAUGUGCCCAGAUGGGAUUAGCUAGUUGGUGAGGUAACGGCUCACCAAGGCGACGAUCCCUAGCUGGUCUGAGAGGAUGACCAGCCACACUGGAACUGAGACACGGUCCAGACUCCUACGGGAGGCAGCAGUGGGGAAUAUUGCACAAUGGGCGCAAGCCUGAUGCAGCCAUGCCGCGUGUAUGAAGAAGGCCUUCGGGUUGUAAAGUACUUUCAGCGGGGAGGAAGGUGUUGUGGUUAAUAACCGCAGCAAUUGACGUUACCCGCAGAAGAAGCACCGGCUAACUCCGUGCCAGCAGCCGCGGUAAUACGGAGGGUGCAAGCGUUAAUCGGAAUUACUGGGCGUAAAGCGCACGCAGGCGGUCUGUCAAGUCGGAUGUGAAAUCCCCGGGCUCAACCUGGGAACUGCAUUCGAAACUGGCAGGCUUGAGUCUUGUAGAGGGGGGUAGAAUUCCAGGUGUAGCGGUGAAAUGCGUAGAGAUCUGGAGGAAUACCGGUGGCGAAGGCGGCCCCCUGGACAAAGACUGACGCUCAGGUGCGAAAGCGUGGGGAGCAAACAGGAUUAGAUACCCUGGUAGUCCACGCCGUAAACGAUGUCUACUUGGAGGUUGUGCCCUUGAGGCGUGGCUUCCGGAGCUAACGCGUUAAGUAGACCGCCUGGGGAGUACGGCCGCAAGGUUAAAACUCAAAUGAAUUGACGGGGGCCCGCACAAGCGGUGGAGCAUGUGGUUUAAUUCGAUGCAACGCGAAGAACCUUACCUGGUCUUGACAUCCACAGAACUUUCCAGAGAUGGACUGGUGCCUUCGGGAACUGUGAGACAGGUGCUGCAUGGCUGUCGUCAGCUCGUGUUGUGAAAUGUUGGGUUAAGUCCCGCAACGAGCGCAACCCUUAUCCUUUGUUGCCAGCGGUCCGGCCGGGAACUCAAAGGAGACUGCCAGUGAUAAACUGGAGGAAGGUGGGGAUGACGUCAAGUCAUCAUGGCCCUUACGACCAGGGCUACACACGUGCUACAAUGGCGCAUACAAAGAGAAGCGACCUCGCGAGAGCAAGCGGACCUCAUAAAGUGCGUCGUAGUCCGGAUUGGAGUCUGCAACUCGACUCCAUGAAGUCGGAAUCGCUAGUAAUCGUGGAUCAGAAUGCCACGGUGAAUACGUUCCCGGGCCUUGUACACACCGCCCGUCACACCAUGGGAGUGGGUUGCAAAAGAAGUAGGUAGCUUAACCUUCGGGAGGGCGCUUACCACUUUGUGAUUCAUGACUGGGGUGAAGUCGUAACAAGGUAACCGUAGGGGAACCUGCGGUUGGAUCACCUCCUUACCUUAAAGAA
rnacentral:rRNA from 2 species